UNUGACUUGAGUGCAGAAGGGGAGAGUGGAAUUCCAUGUGUAGCGGUGAAAUGCGUAGAUAUAUGGAGGNACACCAGUGGCGAAAGCGGCUCUCUGGUCUGUCACUGACGCUGAGGCUCGAAAGCGUGGGUAGCGAACAGGAUUAGAUACCCUGGUAGUCCACGCCGUAAACGAUGAGUGCUAGGUGUUAGGCCCUUUCCGGGGCUUAGUGCCGGAGCUAACGCAAUAAGCACUCCGCCUGGGGAGUACGACCGCAAGGUUGAAACUCAAAGGAAUUGACGGGGGCCCGCACAAGCGGUGGAGCAUGUGGUUUAAUUCGAAGCAACGCGAAGAACCUUACCAGGUCUUGACAUCCCGAUGCUAUUCUUAGAGAUAGGAAGUUACUUCGGUACAUCGGAGACAGGUGGUGCAUGGUUGUCGUCAGCUCGUGUCGUGAGAUGUUGGGUUAAGUCCCGCAACGAGCGCAACCCUUAUUGUUAGUUGCCAUCAUUAAGUUGGGCACUCUAGCGAGACUGCCGGUAAUAAACCGGAGGAAGGUGGGGAUGACGUCAAAUCAUCAUGCCCCUUAUGACCUGGGCUACACACGUGCUACAAUGGUCGGUACAACGAGUUGCGAGCCGGUGACGGCAAGCUAAUCUCUGAAAGCCGAUCUCAGUUCGGAUUGGAGGCUGCAACUCGCCUCCAUGAAGUCGGAAUCGCUAGUAAUCGCGGAUCAGCACGCCGCGGUGAAUACGUUCCCGGGCCUUGUACACACCGCCCGUCACACCACGAGAGUUUGUAACACCCG
rnacentral:rRNA from 1 species